UACGUAGGUGGCGAGCGUUGUCCGGAUUUACUGGGCGUAAAGAGCGCGCAGGCGGUCGUUCAAGUCGCGUGUGAAAGCCCCCGGCUCAACUGGGGAGGGUCACGCGAUACUGAUCGACUCGAAGGCAGGAGAGGGAAGUGGAAUUCCCGGUGUAGUGGUGAAAUGCGUAGAUAUCGGGAGGAACACCAGUGGCGAAGGCGGAUCUCUGGACAGCUCCUGACGCUGAGGCGCGAAGGCUAGGGGAGCAAACGGG
rnacentral:rRNA from 1 species